UACGGAGGGUGCAAGCGUUAUCCGGAAUCACUGGGCGUAAAGGGCGCGUAGGUGGUCUGUUAAGUCUGGCGUUAAAGCCUGGGGCUCAACCCCAGAUCAGCGUUGGAUACUGGCAGGCUAGACGGUUGGAGAGGCGAGUGGAAUUACCAGUGUAGCGGUGGAAUGCGUAGAUACUGGUAGGAACACCCAUUGCGAAGGCAGCUCGCUGGACAACACGUGACACUGAGGCGCGAAAGUGUGGGGAGCAAGCAGGAUUAGAUA
rnacentral:rRNA from 1 species